rnacentral:lncRNA from 1 species
ACGUAACGUAUCUUUCUUAUUACAUCAUUAUAUCCACGUGACAUACAGGCCUAAUAGGCCAACACAAUCAUUUAUAAACUCAAAACAUAGGCCGACAAGGCCGUACAAUCUUUCACGUAUACGACAUAUGUCUACAUGCCUCUAAGAGUACAUAAAUAUCAUAAAGGUCGGGAUAGAGUCCCGCCAUACCAAAUAAUACACGUCUAAACCAUACUAACCAAACAAGCAACUCCGAAGCAAAUGGAGCGCAUCAACAUCUUCUGCAGAGCUGAUAGCCUACUUGGAGGGCUCUCGACCUGUCUAUCGGGACCUGCGUGCAUGAAACGCAGGGUCCCCAAGCAAAAGGAACGUCAGUACGAAUAAUGUACCAAGUAUGUAAGGCACAUAAAUAAGUACAUAAGAGACAUGUAAGAAAUAUAGAGUACAUGAAUCAACCUGUAAGUCUGAAUAACUUUGUAAAUCAUAAAUUACUUUUAGCGUCAUGCAUAUGCGUAUGAAUAUCAUGUCGUGCAUAAGUACAUGUUUCACAAUAUCAUCAGCCUCUGAGGGCAUUCCAUCAUAUCAUAUCGGCCACUGUGGGCAAAAUCAUCAUCGUAUACCAAUUGAUCAGGUGGUGUUGCGUAUAUAACGCCAUAACCUUUCCCAUAUCCCAUAUACAUAUAUAUAUACAUAUACGCGUAUAUAAUGCCAUUUGAAUCAUAUUUCAGCCACUGUGGGCAACAUCAUCAACAUAUACCACCUGAUCAGGUGGUGGUGCGUAUAAAACGCCGUAACCUUUUCCCAUAUCCCAUAUACAUAUAUUUACAUAUAUAUAUAUAUAUAUAUGUAUAUAACGCUGUUUAAAUCAUAUUUCACCCACUGUGGGCAGCAUCAUCAACAUAUACCAGCUGAUCAGGUGGUGGUGCGUAUAUAACGCCGUCUAGUCAUGGGUCAAUGCACAUGUAUAAAUGAGUUAAAUGCAUGAAAAAUACAUAAUAAUCUCGAUAUUCCUUUCGGAUAAACUUUUCCAACUGCGUAUUAUUCUUAGACCCAUGAACAGAAGAUAAUAAUAAUUCUCAUGGGGAAUCAAGAAUAUAGACACCCCGACUAUUUCUAUGAAUAGAGUAAUUUAUCGAAACUGUGCAUUUGCUUGUUUCUUCAGUAUAAUUUGGACGAUGCCAAAAGAAAUAAGGGAUAGCCUUAACAUACCUGGACCGAUUCUCUUGAAAAUUCCUCUAACACACAUCUUUUGCGAAGAAUACAUAACGGCGGAUCGAAGUAAGGAAAAAUCCAUAUUAUAUUCCUGAGAAAGAUUGCACCGUACUCCUUUAGAACCGUGAAAGUUUUAUUGCCAAGGAGCUAGUAGUUUUCGUAAGAAAUUUGUUGAAGCUGGAUGUAAC